rnacentral:lncRNA from 1 species
UGGAGACCCUCAAUGCCCUCCCCCGUCGCCUUCCAGCCUGCGGCUUGGUUGACUGCCUUCCUUAUGAGGACUGUGACUGAAUGGUGUUCGGUAUGCUAUUUAUCUGUUUUGUGUCUCUUAUUAGUAAAGUGAUGUUAACUUAGCUAGGUUUAUGUUUUCUUUUCAGAUAUCAUGGCCACUCCCGCUCCCCGCCAAUCCAACUUCAUGGCGUCGAAGAGGGGGUCUACAGGUGUCUCUUCUAUAGUUAGAGGGUCGGCCCCUCCUCUACCCAGGCGUCCACCUCCGGCCAGCAGAUCCAUUCCCACUAGCCGUCCUACAGUUGGUCGGGAUAUCUAGGAGGGUUUACCGGUUGGGGUGAGCAUGCUAUUUUAGGUAGUUCACACGUCCUAGUCGGGGAAUGCUCCUCCAACCCCAGGAUUCCUCUUGUCGCAGUGACCGGGACCCUUCCAGUAGUCAACCCUGAACCUCUUAUAGAAGUAGCUUCCCAAUCAGCUCUGCCCGAUACUUCAGUGUCGGCCCAAAAAAAGAGGAAAUCACGCAGAGAAAGCGACAAGUCCUCCUCCAAGAGGAGUCGUCAUGAGGGUAGUGUUCCCAAUGCUCCCUGACCACUUCUCGGUGGUGUUUUCAGCGUCAAGUUUAAUGUAGGCC